GCCAUAAGUCACAUUUUUAUUAUAUCGUAUAGUAGCCUUAUAUUAUGCCAUCCAUCCAUCUAUUUUUUUUUUUUUUUUUAUUUUAGGUGUUUGCUGCGUUUGUUUUACUGAGCAACUUUAUAAACCUAAAUCUAACAGGAUUUUUAUUAUAUUUAUGUGCACGUAACACGAGAUCUAUAAUAACAAACAUAACGUUCUAUGAGUAUUUAAAAAGACCAAGACACAUAAAAGAUAAUUACAACACUGAGUUACAAUGCUGGGAUUUUCAAAAUUUAAGCCUUAUAAAAAUUUUAAAAAAUAUAUAUUACUUUUGGUCGUUAAAUUAUGACGAACCAUAUUUCAGAAAAAAUGAACAAUCGGUAAUUGCUUUUUUAUUGUGCAUACGUAUAUGUACGUGCAUAUAUACACGUGUACAUAUAUACAUAUAUAUACAUAUAUAUCUAUGCUGUAUAUUUUUAAUUUUUAAUUUUUUUUUUAGAUGGAUAAGUCUCAUUAUACACUACUUCCGAACGACGUAUAAGAAAAGAACAUUUUUACAGCCUUAUUAUUUGAAUUAUAACAGUUUAAAAAAAAAAAAAAAAAAAAAACACGACUAAACUUAUGUCAUACUGUGUUCUUUCAGUGCACACUUAAUUUUAUAUUUAUAGUAAUAGCACUACAUCCCUGAUAUAUAUAUAUAUAUAUAUAUAUUAUAUUUUUUGUUUACUACGAAGUAUUAGUAACGAUAUACUCGCAAAGGGAUAAAUCAGACCAAUAAAUAAAAUUUACUUGGUAAAAAUACA
rnacentral:lncRNA from 1 species